rnacentral:rRNA from 1 species
UGGGGAAUAUUGCACAAUGGGCGCAAGCCUGAUGCAGCCAUGCCGCGUGUGUGAAGAAGGCCUUCGGGUUGUAAAGCACUUUCAGCGGGGAGGAAGGCGUUAAGGUUAAUAACCUUGGCGAUUGACGUUACCCGCAGAAGAAGCACCGGCUAACUCCGUGCCAGCAGCCGCGGUAAUACGGAGGGUGCAGGCGUUAAUCGGAAUUACUGGGCGUAAAGCGCACGCAGGCGGUCUGUCAAGUCGGAUGUGAAAUCCCCGGGCUCAACCUGGGAACUGCAUUCGAAACUGGCAGGCUAGAGUCUUGUAGAGGGGGGUAGAAUUCCAGGUGUAGCGGUGAAAUGCGUAGAGAUCUGGAGGAAUACCGGUGGCGAAGGCGGCCCCCUGGACAAAGACUGACGCUCAGGUGCGAAAGCGUGGGGAGCAAACAGG